UACUGCGAAGGGGGGACGGAGAAGGCUAUGUUAGCCGGGCGACGGUUGUCCCGGUUUAAGCAUGUAGGCUGGUUGUCCAGGCAAAUCCGGAUAAUCAAGGCUGAGAUGUGAUGACGAGGCACUACGGUGCUGAAGUAACAAAUGCCCUGCUUCCAGGAAAAGCCUCUAAGCAUCAGGUAACAUUAAAUCGUACCCCAAACCGACACAGGUG
rnacentral:rRNA from 1 species